rnacentral:rRNA from 1 species
UACGUAGGUGGCGAGAGUUACUCGGAAUUACUAGGCGUAAAGCGCAGGUAGGUGGCUUGAUAAGUCCGUAAUGAAAUCUCCCGGCUUAACUGGGAGGGGUUUAGGGAUACUGUCAGGCUUGAGUGUGGGAGAGGUAACUGGAAUUCCUGGUGUAGCGGUGAAAUGCGUAGAGAUCAGGAGGAACACCUAUGGCGAAAGCAGGUUACUGGCCCAAUACUGACACUGAGCUGCGAAAGCUAGGGGAGCAAACAGG